CUUCUUCCCAACGCAUGUCCUUCCUAGGACUUCUCGUCUCCUUCCCUCUUCUUAUCUCCAGCACUAUGUCGACCGCCGCAUCCGUCCCUGCCUCCACCCUCACCCUCGCCCUCAGCGAGCACCGUCCUUGUUCCCCAUCGAGUUCGCCGCUGCUGCCAACCGCGACGCCCUCUCUGGUCCUGGGUCGGCAUGAACCCGACCUAGGGUUUCGUCCCUUCAUUGGGUGGCAGCGCCGGCACCGGUGGCCCCUGCCUUCUCCCCCACCCCACACGGCAUGGCCCCGUGGCAUGGCUCCUCGCUCUGGACGACGCGGGUGGCACGGGUUUCGUGCGGUGGCGCGACGUGGGCGGAGACCGCCGUUGGCCAUGGCCGCCUCCCUACGCUUGAGGUCCGACACAUAGCCGGCGCGGCUCUGUUCUCGUGGAUCCAUACACUCGCUGGUUUACUCUUCCUCUCUUUCUCUUGCACCCUCCCUCCCCCUCUCUCUCCUGAUGUGGGAUAUGCAUGGACGCAUGCUCGAUUUUGCUGUAGAUGUGGUGUUCCCAUUCUGUUCUCCCACCAAUCUAAAUAUGGUUAUUUUUAGAUUUUGUUGUUAUCCCCUAGAAUACCUGUGUAACUCCUCCAAAGAACCCUUGGCCAUGUCUCCUCAAAUGUUUUCAACACUUUGAUUUUCUAUCCUCUGGUUCAUAAAUGUUGCAGCUGGUUCAGCAGAUUCUGUCACCAAAUACCUCCCCCUGUGAUUUCAUAUGCUUCUUUGGGUUUACUUUCUGCAUAUGCCUGAUUUUUAUAGCUUUCACAAUUUCACUGUAAGUCCUGAACUCUGAGCACAUGAGCAUGUCACUAAUAUUGGUUUCACACCAUGUGCACUGUAGUAUGAUGUUUUGGGGUUCAUGUUUGCAUUUGAGCCAUGUGCGGUGAUGAGUAUGGUUUACAUCUACAAUUGAGGGAAUGGGCUAUUGCUAUGAUGAUUGCACCAUAUAUUUUGUUCCUUUGUGUUCUAGGUAAUGAUCAUUGUGUACCUUUCCACAGGUUACAUCUCUAUGUUUUUUAUAUGCCUGAGGCAAUGCUCAUGACCUAUGAUCAGUCUUCCUCUUACAUCUUUUUUCUAUGUCGACAACUUAGGCAAUCACCAUGGCCAGUGUUGUGCUAUUUUUGCCAACUCUUCCUACCUGUCCCAUGAUAGCUAAGGCAAUAGUCAAUUGGUUGUCUCUAUUUUCUUCCAAUCAUUCCUUCCUGAUCUAUUUUGUUUAGUUUGAACGCAUCAAUGAUAGAUAAUACUGAUUGUCUAUUUUGUCAUAUACUAUGCGACUAGAAUUUAGUAUUGAUUAUGAGAUUUGAGGUUGUGUUGCCAUUGUGUGUGAUAGUUUCUUCAUUUGCUUAUUUGUUACCUGUGAGCAUUGCCUGUGAUGCUAUAUUGUCGCUUCUGAGCACAUGCCCUAUCCCAAUGAUUACAUUGGCAUACACUUUGGUUGUGUGCAGUCACUUUCGGUUUACCUAUUUCCUUGAUUUUUUGGGUAUGAAUCUUGUGUUUCGUUGUGGUAUACUUGCUUUUAUCUCGAUCCAGUUAAUGUUUCUGUUUGUAUUUUUUAGAAGACUGAAAAAUUUUAUGCCUCAAUUAGUCAAUUAUGGUAUUUUAAGGUUGUUUAGGUGCUUGCUAGCAAAGGGAAACAAAAAUUCAUCUAGCCUUGCCAUUUUCUUAAUUAGUUCCUCCUUUCUUUAAGGCUUCUUUAUUUUAGCGACGGCAACAACAAAUUAACACCUUUGGACUUUGGCAAGCAAAUUGGUCACUGAAGUGCUUCUUCUACUUUUACUGACACAUAAAUAAGUUCCCAGUACAUUUUCCAUCAAGACAAGCUUAGAGUUUUACCAUAUCAAAGUUACUUCAGUAUUGAGUAGAGUUGUCAGACCCAUUUUAUGUACAGAUUCGAAGCAGACAAUACAUUGGGUUAUCAACUCAUAUGUCGCUGAAUCAGGGUAUCUAUAAUAUGAAUCCAAAUUUAUAGGUGUUUAGCUCUACAAUAGCAUGGCCAUAAUUUGAUUUAUACUACCAAACAUUUGUGCCGCGUGUCAGCCGAUUCGUGAGAUUUGAUGCUUUCGAAUUGCCUUUGACAAAUACAGCUAUAUGUUGAAUUAAAAUGAAAUGAAAUUCAUGUUCAUUAGUUCUAUUGUGCAAUAGGCUCUAAUUGUCUAAAGGAAACCUUAGUACUAAGAAACAAUUUAUUUAUUUCUGGCAUGCUAAUUCAUAGCUGUGGUUUUUACCUGGUCAAGAGUUAUGUACUACAUUAUGUUUUAACAGUUCAGAAAAAAGUGUGGUUCUUUUAAUUUUUUUUGAUCUAGCAAAACUAAGUCGGCUAAUCCAAUACCCAUUUGUUUUACUCCACCUCCAUUAUGCAUGCUUUUGACUUACAAUAUAUACCUUCAACUAUUAGAAUGUUUAUUAGUGCUUGAUGUUGGUUUCCUUGCUUGGUCCUUCCAAGAUUUAUAUAACCAUGGAAAGUUCCUUUUCCCUGCUAUUAACCGGCCUCGGCAUCAUCUCUUACAUACUACUACUUUUAUGCUUGCUCCUAUAUAACUUACUGCUUGCAUCUUUACUUACCAGUGAGUUCCUGGUUGCUGUAGCAAUCUGAGUUAAUAUGGUGUAGGGACACAAAUAGACCUGAGCACCAGUGCAGCGCCCAAGCAAUUACUUGGAGUAGCUACGUGGUAAGUGUCUUAUUCGAUUUGAUGCACAUCAAGAUCAGUUUGGUUGAUUCGAUGCUUACCGUAAAAAAAAUCUUUCCAAAAAUAUGCUUCCUGCUUAUUUCUCAUAUUUUUAUAGUCAAUGUUGUCAUAUAUGCUGAUAAGAUUCUUAGGUGCUUAUUUGAUAGCAUCAUAGCAACUCUUUUGGAUUUUUGUACGGUACCCUAUAAUUGUUGUGCUGCAAACUUUCUGUGCCACACUAUACAAAGUGAUUUGUUUUCUGUUUUCCAAGUAACUAAAUAAUUCAAGGUUAAAUACGCAUGCAUAUUCAGACCAGGAAAGAACAUAGCUUGCUGAUCAUUUCAAGUAAUUUUGAUUCUUAAUAUUUUCUCAUCCAAAUACCUCCAGACCUAGCUGAUACAUAUUGAUAUUGUUCCCUGAGUGAGUUCACAUGUAUUAUAUAGAUCAAUUUGCAGUUUAGCACUGUGCCAUUGCACUUGAUAUCAGCUUCAAUGUGUUUCAUGGUCUACAGCUCUACUAUUUGUCAGUAUGCACGAUAAUGGUUCCUCUCUUCUGUGACAUCUUUUUUAAAAAAAAAGUUAGAACAUUUUAAUAGUUUCCUAUUCUUGGAUUUGAUCAUGGUAACUUAUAGUUGAGUUCCUGCACCUAUGUGAUCUAUCUAUGGUCUUGUUGGAUGAAAUAUAAAUAUUAUGUAUUUUAGAACGUUGUGUUGUUUGUUACCAUGAUCUAGGGGACUACAUACGACUCAUCUUUGGUCCCUCAUUUCCUACAGUUUCCAUUACAUGGUUUUUCCCUUAAACCAAACUCAUUUCUUUUUCCCAUUUUUAGAAACCCUUCUAUUUUCAUCUGUUAUUUUUAUGGCCCAAUUGUUCCUUUGUAUUUCAUAAUAUAUAUAGUUGUUGCAGAUUAAAAAGUUCAACUAUGCAAGGAAUAGGGAAUCUGCCUUCCUCGAUGGUAAUCACAAAAUAAAUAGAAAAUCUUUUCCCCAGGUCAUGUACUUUCCAAACCACUUCCUUAGUCUGAAAAGCUUCCAUGACCACCGUUCAAAAUAUUUGUGCACACCAGUCAAUCAAAAGUUAAAUAAUGAAACCACAUAGUGGUUGUUUUUUAGUAUUCUAAUUUGAUUAUUCGUAAGUUAGCUGGACCAACGUAUUAUAUAUUCUAAUAUAUACCAUUGAUAAAUUUGCGAGAAACUAUGUAAUCAGAGGCAAAUUAAUGAGUGUCCUUGUUAUUAUUAUUCUGAUAUACUGAUGUAAUUAUGCAUUUACAGGUGCCCUCUCAAAAAUGUAGGGAUCGCUUCAUGUAUAUAUAUGUAUUAUUUUCUAUUUAUUUAUCAUGCUUCAUCAAUUCCCUGAGGUCAACAUAUUGCAACUUCCUCUUAGGGCUGGCAGUACACUUAGUGCUACUAAUGGUGCCUAACUAAAUGGUGAUAUUUUGUAUGUGUUACCAACUUGAAUUUUUUGUAAAGGGCACUAUUCUCAGUGCAUGUCAUUGUGCCUAACUAAAGGAGAUCAAAUGAUGCCAUUUUGGGUUCAUUUCUCAAGGUACUCUUCUUUGCUACAUUAUUACUGUUUUUUUAUUGUACUGAAUUCUUAUAUAAUUUCAGAAUAUAGCCUGCUGAUUUUCAAAGGCAAAAAUUUAUAGUGUAUACAUUUCUAUGAUUUUCCGAUGAUAUGGCCGGAUGCGAGAAUCAAGAUUUUUUGAGCUUCCUAGCCGAGAACUCCCCUUUCUUCUUUGUCUUUUCUUUCUUUCACUUUCUCUUGAAGGACAACAAGAGGGAGUGCUCCCUCCUCGCCCUGAUGGUGGUUGUCUACCCUUUGUAUUGAGGCCUAGAUUUCAGGCUAGCCAAAGGAAAUUUUGAAGAGAACUAUCAGGUUUUUCUGGCUGUGGAUGUUAUGCUAAGAAGCAAACAUGCUUCUGUUUGUUUGCACUCUUCCCUCAUGAAGAAAUGCAGGUAACUGUUUUUUUCAUGUGUAUGUUUGAUUGCAGGAAAGUGAUAAAGUUUACAUGCUCCUCAAAAUAUUGAAGUCUGUGUGGACGAUACAAACAAAUUAUACUAUUUAAUUUAUUUCAAUGCCUCCUAUUGACUUAUCUUCAGUUUUCUACUUUAUUUAUUGUCCUAUAUACUAAAACAGAAGGGCAUUGUCUCAUGCUUAUUUUUACUUUCCGCAUACUUAUAUGAUUUACGAAUGAUUUUGAUGCCACCUUCCAGGUUCCUAAUUAUAGCUGACCUCUAAUUUGUGCCACUUACAAUACACUCCCGUGGCUUAAAGAAUGAAAGAAGCUGCCCAUCCUUCAUAGGUUUUUGGGUUAAUGAGACAUCCUCCCAUGUGCUCAUGCUUGAUGGAUUCAGGUGCAACCUAUGUGUCGCUAAGAAGAAUGUAAAGGCGACGACGAACAAGGAUGGAAUCAGACUGAAGCAUGAACAUUGGGUGAUAGUGAUGCCUAUAGCAUAGGCAACCAAACUCCUAAACCCACGACUCUCUUCCGUGUAAAAUAUUUCGAACGCACAAUGUAAAAUGUCUGAACACCACAUCUGAUGGAAAUUAGCACCCAACUAUACAAACAUGUUGUGUAAUGUAGCGAUCUAGCACCUUAUGAUGCUUUGAUAUGUUCAACCAGACUCAACGUAUAUCAAACCUAAUGACUACUUGUAGUCUUUUGUAUAUAUAACCAUAUUGUCUACAUUAUUCUUCAAUA